CAGUGAGUCGCCAGAGUUGAUCCGCGUCUGCUUGUUGGGUGCAUUGUUCUAUAAAAGUUUAUUCUGUGGUUGUGGUCAUCAUUCGUUGAAAUGCGUCUCUUUCUUGGAAUGAUCCUAAUUUUUGUGGUUCUUCUGGGACUACUGGCAGAAGGGGAAGGGACCCCGUACGGAGGUGGUAGAGGUCCACCUAAACCGCAUCCAACACAGUGCUGCCCACCUCACUGCUCCUGCUGUGACCCAUACAAACCCUGCACUUGCAUUAUCCCAUGCCCAGAGGGUUCAGAGACUGGCGAGUGAUGACACAGGCAGUUAAGGAAGUUCCAUCAAGAGAGAGGUGAUUAGGAAGCGGUUUCUGGAAACGGGAUGUCAGCUUGUCAGUUCAUUAAAAGAUUGCAGAUU